rnacentral:tRNA from 1 species
UCUGUGGCUUAGUUGGUUAAAGCGCCGGUCUAGCGAAUACGGAGUCGUGGGUUCGAAUCCCACCAGA